UACGAAGGGUGCAAGCGUUAAUCGGAAUUACUGGGCGUAAAGCGUGCGUAGGCGGUUUCUUAAGUCUGCUGUGAAAUCCCCGGGCUCAACCUGGGAAUGGCAGUGGACACUGGGAGGCUAGAGUGUGUCAGAGGAUGGUGGAAUUCCCGGUGUAGCGGUGAAAUGCGUAGAGAUCGGGAGGAACAUCAGUGGCGAAGGCGGCCAUCUGGGACAACACUGACGCUGAGGCACGAAAGCGUGGGGAGCAAACAGG
rnacentral:rRNA from 1 species